AAGGAUUCUUCCAUUCUGGGUUGGGAAUCUACAAUCCCCUUGAUGUAACUACUUGCCAGAUGGUUGAACUAUCAAAUUGUUUCUGGGGUUCAGACUAUAGAACCCACUGAGGCAGAAAUGUGGGAACUUGGUAGGAAAACAAAGAUGACUGUGUGUUGGGUACUUAAAGAAGGUACAAAGUCUUUUCCAGGGAAGUUUUGUUAAAAGUGCAUCAGGAACAAGAGGUGAAUUAUAUAACUUUCUUCAGAAGCCACAUCUACCUGUAAUCAGCCAUCAGAGGCUGAGGAAGGUCAGAUCAUCUACUGUCUUCCUUAUCAUCACCACCACCACCAGCAGCAGCAAUAGCAGCAGAGUUCUCUGCCAUACUCUAUUACUAGAGCUAAAGAUUGCAUGUGAUUAUAGACAUUUAUUAUUCUGGUCAUUGUCAUGGUGAUCUUUGGGGCAAGAUCUGAGAGGAAAACUCUCUCCUAGCCAUAUCUGGAGGCCAAUGUCCUUAAACAGAAAACUGGGGUCAUACUCUGUAAAACCUACCAGACCAAGUAAUCCAGAGCUGGGAUGGGGGCAGGAUCUUUUUAGAGUAAGACUUGCCUUCCAAGCCACAUAACUGUCAUCUAGAGCUUGUCACUGCUGACAAGUUUCCUUCUUGCUGCCAGCUUGUUCUGUGUCACUCAGGGCUCUCAUCAGUAAUUUAGCCCUAAGAGGGGUACAGGAAAGAUUAAAACAAGGAAUGCUAUGUGUGUGGGGAAAUCAUUCCCUUAAAGUCUAUCUUGCCAGCAAAUUUUAAGUGGCAGGAGCAGAAGUGACGACCACAGCUGGCACUUUGGGUUUUGUGGUAUGAAGCAAAGGCUUUUUAACUGAGAGAGGACUGAGCGCCCAUUCCUGGUGUCAGCUCCUGCCCCUGGAAGGCUGGUUGGCCGGAAUGUGAUGCUGCAAUGGGGACUGUGUCUCAGCUGUCAGGACCUGAAUUCCAGAGGUGAAUUCUGACUCAUGUUUUGGGUUUGGACUGGAGCAAAGAGCCUGAGUUGCUGUUGGCCAAAUGCUGGCCUGCACUUGUCAGACUGGGCUGAUGACUUCCUCCCUGUUCUAUCCUUCACCUCUUAUGCCAUGGUUUUGGGAGGCACUGUGCUCAGCAAGCUGAACUGCGUUUUGGGUGUGUGACUAGGGUGCCAGCCAGGCCAGGGAUGCCCAGAACUGGAAGAAGCACAGGGGCAGGACCACAGCAGAGGCUGAUCAGGAAGCUGCCCUACUGAGGGCUCUGCUGAAGGCUGCAGCCUCUCUGCUGAGAGUCAACCACUGUGCUGACUCACCAUCCUUGUGGUUGAGAACAUAUCAGCAAAUUGGUGGCUGUAAUGAGCCCUGGAGCUGCAAAAUAUAGGCCAGGGAACCUCAGCCGGAAGGGGCUUCAGUUAGCGACAGUUUUUCUAUUCUGAUAUGGAGUUACAAGGGACCCAAGAGGACCUGGGCAUUUCCCUCUGUAGUCCCCAGAGGGACAAUGAAACCAGGCCAGGAAGCAAGGCUAAGAGCAAGAGCAGCAUUUGUCUGCAGGGGCCUGUUUGGACUGCUGGAGGAAACCUGAGGCUCAGAGCAAGCGAACAUCUCACCCAGGGCCACCGAUAAGAGCUCGGGGAUUGGAACCUAGGAGAAGAUGCUUCCCUUCUCUUCUCCAAGGGUCCUUUUGGGGCAGGCAUGUUGUUCGAGCUCCAGCUCAUGUCUUCAGACCAUGCUGGGUCCAAGGAAAUGCAUGGAUCUCCUCCAUUACAAAGCUUGACUCCAAAAGAAGCCUGGAAGUGGCUCCCAGCCCCUCCGACCUGACUGUGCCCUGCCCUUCACCACUUCCUGUCUCCCUGUGACCCAGCGGCAGAUGCAUCUGUGGGAGCUGCUGCUUGGGAAAGUCCACCUGGGGGAGAGCAUGCCAACCUAUCCUCUCAGAUCCUCUGGGACUUCCUUUCUCCACCCAAACUAGGCCUGGAGGUUGAUGUCGGUGUGGUGUGGAAGAUGUGGGGAGAAGCUGCAUGUAGCAUCUUACUAGCUCUUUCUUAAAACUUGCCUCUCCCUGUCAUUGUUAGUCUAUUUUAUAACUCACACUCCAGCAGGAGGGAAGUAAAGGAGCUUACCCUGUUCACAGAUCCUGUAACCUCUGGUGGUUGUUACCUCAUAGCUGGUGCAGUGUCUUUUGAGCUUGGCAGUUUCGGGUGGACUCAAAUGUCUGUUCUUUGCAGUCUUUCUGGGGGUGGUAGCAGAUAAAGAGAAGAGAACAGGUUCUUACUGACGACUGAUUCAUGAAGAACUCAUGUUCUUCGUGUGCAACAGUUAAAGCCCUUCCACAAAUGUAUGAGUGGGUGUUAUACUGUGAUAACCUGGGUAUCGCCAAGAUGGCUUCCUUGGGGUUUUUGUCUCCUUAGGCCUACCCGAAGGCUCUCUUCUCAGUCACAGGGGUUGCAUUUACUUCGUCCCUGGCUUGCUCUGGGCCUCAGUUUCCCUAUUCUAGGACAGAAGAAAUCUGUGCUUUAUAUAUAUAUAUAUAUAUAUAUAUAUAUAAAAUAUGGUCCUGAUAGAAGUCCAUUGGUGAUUUUGGCCUGUUCCCUCCUCAAGGUUAAUAGUCCAGGUAAUUUCCUCAGGGGUCCUGGGUGGCCUGUUGUGGGUGGACCCAUGAAGUGUCUAGAUUUGCUGUGAUAGGAGCCACCUCAGGUUUCUGUGGAGAUAAGCCCUGCCCCUCAUUCACACUCCGAGCUUGAAAAGUCCCUUACUCAGCUUUGGAAUGGGAACUAGAAAGACUAAGCAGGGCCUCUCAGGGGUUCCUUCUAGGGUCUCUCAGAAGAGAAGCAAGCAGUCUUGGCUGAGAUACAUCUGAGGUUGUCACUCAGCACAUGACUGGGGCUCAGCAACGACCAGCCCACAACCAUCCUGCCUUUCCCCAAGGGGCUGGGCUCCAGCUGUGGAGGGCGGGCAGGAGACUCCUUUGCCUUCCAACACGGUCUGGCCUGUCUCGGGUCCUGCACGUCUUUUCUCUACCAAUUUUGUGGCUGUGGUUAACUUAGCUAAACUUUCAGUGAAAUAACGUCUAGUGGCAUUCCUUUACAUUUUCCAUGUGCUGUUUUUUCCAUAACUCCAUCUUCUUCAGGGCUGAGUUUGGGUCUUCAUAUUUCCACCCACAGGGCCUAGUGAAGCUUCGCCCUGUGCUCCAACUUGCCUGCCCCAGACUUCUUGGAUGGACGUUGUCAAUCCGGUCAUAUUUGAGAGUGAAGCUGCCACCUAGUGGUCACUGGAGGUGUGCCUGCCUUUUCAUGCGUUCUCUUGCUACUGGUCACUGGAAAUAUCAGUGUUGAUGGCUUUCUUCUAGACUGACUUAGAAACUGUGCUGUGAAUCAGACCAAACAAUUUAUUCGCUUCAAAUCCCUAUUGUAAAGACAUUUAAUAUAAAGAAAUGUUUUCAAAUCAAAAUAAAUAAUGAAGCAAACAUCAGAUAGCAUGUACUCCUUUGCCAAACUAGAACACGCAUAUUUUGACUCAAUUUAAGAUCAGAUGAAGUCUUACAAAGACAAAGUAAAUCAAGUAACAAACAGCCCAGCAAAAAGUGGAUUGAUCGUUUUCUUUUAUUCAACACAAAUCUACUUAGUGCUGGGCUGGCUCUGGUAGACACCCAAGUAUUUAGUGGGAACCCGAGCAGCUCAUUAGAAUACAACGUGGCAACUUAAAAUUGGGUGAAGGAGUGCAGAGGGAGGAAAACAAAGAGGACUUGCUAACUCUGCAGAGCAGUGACAUUUGAACAGACUUGUCAAGGAAGACUCGAUUUAGUCAGGUAGAGGGACAGAAGGCAGGGAGAGAAUUCUGCCCGACUAAGGAAGAGCAUGUGCAAGGCCUAGGGUAAUGGAAGAGAAGAAUGAUUCAGCUGUCUGGAAGAGGUUGUCUUAGUUGGUUUCCUGUCACUGUAACAGACUACUCCAGAAUGGGUAAUUUAUAAUGAAGAGAAAUUUAUUUAGCUUAUGGUUUUGGA